UACGUAGGGGGCAAGCGUUGUCCGGAUUUAUUGGGCGUAAAGAGCGUGUAGGCGGCCAGGCAGGUCCGUUGUGAAAACUCGAGGCUCAACCUCGAGACGUCGAUGGAAACCAUCUGGCUAGAGUCCGGAAGAGGAGAGUGGAAUUCCUGGUGUAGCGGUGAAAUGCGCAGAUAUCAGGAAGAACACCUAUGGCGAAGGCAGCUCUCUGGGACGGUACUGACGCUGAGACGCGAAAGCGUGGGGAGCGAACAGG
rnacentral:rRNA from 1 species